rnacentral:rRNA from 1 species
AAGCGCUUGCAGCCAGACGUGCCUAUAGUUGUUCUCUUCUGUAGGCAGGCCAGCAUCAGUUUGGGCGAUUGGAUAAAGACCUCUGUCAUGUAUCACCCUUCGGGGUGGCCUUAUAGGGGAGGUGUCAUGCAAUCAGCCCGGACUGAGGUCCGCGCAUCUGCUAGGAUGCUGGCGUAAUGGCUGUAAGCGG